GAAUCGUGAAUAUUUAGUUAUUAUUAUUAUUAUAAAUUUUAUAUGAAGGCAGGUAACGAAUUGGUUGGAAAUUGGCUUUGGAUUUGCGGUGGGUCAUGAUCGUUGAGUUGCUAGAACUUGUUCUCGAGCCCAAUGUCUUCCAAAUUUAAUUAUUGCUAAACUGCUUCAGACCGGACUCGACAAGACCAAAAACAAGAUCGGGACUUAAUAAAAAAAGUUAAUCAAACCUUUUUCCCAUAUAAAAAUAAUUAUCUAAUCAGGACCAAAACCUAUUU
rnacentral:lncRNA from 1 species